CCUACGGGAGGCAGCAGUGGGGAAUAUUGCACAAUGGGCGCAAGCCUGAUGCAGCCAUGCCGCGUGUGUGAAGAAGGCCUUCGGGUUGUAAAGCACUUUCAGCGGGGAGGAAGGCGUUAAGGUUAAUAACCUUGUCGAUUGACGUUACCCGCAGAAGAAGCACCGGCUAACUCCGUGCCAGCAGCCGCGGUAAUACGGAGGGUGCAAGCGUUAAUCGGAAUUACGGGGCGUAAAGCGCACGCAGGCGGUCUGUCAAGUCGGAUGUGAAAUCCCCGGGCUCAACCUGGGAACUGCAUUCGAGACUGGCAGGCUAGAGUCUUGUAGAGGGGGGUAGAAUUCCAGGUGUAGCGGUGAAAUGCGUAGAGAUCUGGAGGAAUACCGGUGGCGAAGGCGGCCCCCUGGACAAAGACUGACGCUCAGGUGCGAAAGCGUGGGGAGCAAACAGGAUUAGAUACCCGUGUAGUC
rnacentral:rRNA from 1 species